rnacentral:rRNA from 1 species
GACAAAACCCACUGCGUUCGACCUUCACUCUUCACACGCGGAACCAUUGGGGCUGUGGAAACCUCCUUGAUUGGUGGUAGAAGCGCUUCCGCAUUCAACACAUGCAUAUGCCCCUGCCCGUGGAGGUUACUGUGAACAAAACAGCGUGUCCAAAGCAACCACAUGUCUGGCUGAAUGAUCUAGCAUGGAAUAACAAGGCAUCGACCACUGGAGUCAGCCUUUUUGUUGGUUUUACAUGACCCAGUUGGGCAAUGCAGGGCUUGUGCUUCAUUGAGGUUCUUAGUCAGCUCUACCGAACUGUCUUCCCUCAGUUGGACCUUGUUCCCUAUCGGGAUCAAUGGAAGCCAUCGGGGUGGUAUGUAUUCCGACGUGAGCGGUGAAAUGCUUAGACCGUUGGAAGACAAACGACAGCGAAGGCAUUCCGCCAGAAUGUUUUCAUUAAUCAAGAACGAGAGUGUGGGGAUCGAAGAUGAUCAGAUACCAUCGUAGUCCAUUACCGUAAACUAUGCCAACUCGGCAUUGGGAGUCUGUUCACUUUGAAGACUCUCCCAGCAUCAUCCCCCAAUAACGAGAAAUCCAAGUCUAUGGGUUCAGGGGGGAGUACAGUCGCAAGGCUGAAACUUAAAGGAAUUGACGGAAUGACACCACAAGGCGUGGAGUAUGCGGCUUAAUUUGACCCAACACGGGGAAGCUUACCAGGUCAGACACAGUAAGGAUUGACAGAUUGAGAGCUCUUUCUUGAUCCUAUGGAUGGUGGUGCAUGGCCGUUUCUGGUUCGUGGAGUGAUCUGUCUGCUUAAUUGCGAUAACGAACGAGAUCUCUACCUCUAAAUAGGCGCCGGUCUCGCAUGUAAGUAGGGAUGUGUUGGGGGCCUUCGUGUCCCCUCAUGUCCUGAGAGUGCCGGGAUCGCUUCUUAGACGGACUGUGCAUGUCUUUAAUGCACGGAAGAGGGAGUCAAUAGCAGGUCUGUGAUGCUCCUAGAUGUUCUGGGCUGCACGCGCACUACACUGGCACAGUAAACGAGUUGCACCUGCUUCGGCAGUCCUGCUUAGAAGUGAGCGUGGGAAAUCUUAGAAAACUGUGCCGUGCUGGGGAUAGAUGAUUGCGAUUAUUUGUCUUGAACGAGGAAUGCCUAGUAGAGGUACUUCAUCAGAGUACCUUGAUUGUGUCCCUGCCAUUUGUACACACCGCCCGUCGUUGCUACCGAUUGGCUGUAAAAUAGAGGCCUUAAGAGUCGCUUCCGCAAAGCUUUGCUUUUGAGGUUGUGACAAAUCUGGCCAAUAUUUCAUUGCUAGAGGAAGCAAAAGUCGUAACAAGG